UGGGCUAUUACAACUUACUGAGAACAUGACCCUAGAUAGGAAGGUGUGGAGGUCACGGAUAAAGGUAGAAUGUUAGUACGUGUGUGGGUUGUAACUAGUAGUUAGGGUACUCUGGUCCAGCCGGGUUAGUAAUCCUAGGACUUUGUCCAUUGGUAUGAGCCGUUAGUGUAUGCUACUACUAGGGGUUGUCCUUUUCUUAUUUCUUAUUUCCUAUUUUUCUUUUGUAUUGCUCUUAUUUUCGUGUCUCUUUUAGCUCUAUUUUUACUAUUUUUCAUUUCUUAUUUCAGUUAUGCCACCCU
rnacentral:lncRNA from 1 species